UUUGUGAGAGUGUUGAGACUUGUUUCAUUUUAUUUUGAUGAAGUCAAUGGGAUACUUGUGUGUUGCGUAUUGUAUGUUGUAAUGCAAGUGCUUGUCUCAAUAUUGCUGGCUCUUCUUAUACUAUUAAGUCUUAUUAGUAUAGGGGAUAUACUUGACUGACAGAAAAGAAAAUUUGAGAAUUGCUACUUGGAUAAUUUGUGUAUUUGGAUUGAGACAUGCUUGAGGGUAGUCAUGGUUUCGGGGUGGGGGAAUAAGAUAUAUUUUAAAGCUCCUAUGCAUGCUUAUUCGAGUGAUUGGGAAAGAUUUUAUUGCAUACUUUACACGUCACAGAUGGAAGUUGAGGAGUGUGGUUUAACUCUUGUGUUAUUAUGGUGAGUGGAUUUUUGUUCAGAGCUAGCAUGUCUUAUGAUUAAUGUUGUGUGUCGUCUUGUGCCCCUUUAUAUACUACUUUUAUGUUCUUUUAUUGUUCCUGAUAUUUUCUUUACAACUUUCUACUUAAAAAUUUGUUUAAUUAUAGUCUAUGGUUUAGUUUAGAAUAUGCUAACUAAUACUUUUAAUAUAAUUAGUAAAGAUAUUAAUUCCAUAUAUAUAUUUACAUGCUUAUAAUAUGUAGUUAUGUUAUUUAUUUCAGAUUAAUGGAUUAACGAGAUGAAAAUAAAGUAUAAAUGUAUGACAGUAUGAGGAUAGAAAUCGAAUUUGCACUCCUGAUCUUGAGUUCAAAAGUGCAUGCUAUAAUGUUCGUGAUGAAGUUUCAUUGAUGUGCAGUGAGGUUCCUUCUAUUGCUCCUUAUGCAUGGCUGGUAUAUACUGAAACAAAGAGAGGUUCUGAACAUGAGUUUGGUAAGAAAGAAAUAUGGUCCUUCUGAUUCGUUCUAUGUGCCAAAGCAUGUGUGCUGGGUCAAAACCUCGAAUAUGAUUCUUCAUCUGAGUCGAGCACUGAGCGAAAGAAAGUUAGAGUAUCAUGCAGUUGUUGCUGGCCAAGCCCAUGUUCCACUUUCUAGGAGUGCUGAGACUGUAGCAUCCCCUGUGAUCCAUGUGAUUAUGGCAGUAGUGGCAAGACAUUCCUAUGGUGGAGACUUUUGCUUGAGGACAAGAUAAGGGAGUCAAUCUUUUGGAGAAGUAUGGCCUAAGUCCUCUACAUUGAAGGGAGAACAACACAAGGAAAUAGUGGGAUGAAAAAGUUGGCAAAAUCUUCAUUGACUUUGGGAGCAUGGAUGACAUUUCUGAAGUCUUGGUGGAACGAUGCAAAUGAUUCUGAGUAUGAGCUUCUGGUUUGCAGUCCAUAAAAAAUUGAUGCUAGUAAAUCUAACACAAAAGUGUUGAGUAUACAAUGAUGUUGAUGAGAGCAAUCCAGGAGAAGUGUUGUUGUUAGGCCUAAUGGAGAGUGAAUAUCCAGAUUUCAGCAUUUAAGAGAAGUUAAAUGCUUUUGUUGCGCUUAUUGAUCUACUCAGAGUUAGUUCCAGUAUCAAAAUGGAGGGUUAGAGUCUUCCAACCUGGAGAGAGCCCAUGGGCUCUGUCAUUCGGGCAGUCUUAGCAGGCACCUUCCAGAAUAGGCUUCUAUAACUUAUAAUUGGACUGA